rnacentral:piRNA from 1 species
UGCGGGUGCGUGUGAGCGUGUGUCUCUCCCC